rnacentral:rRNA from 1 species
CCUACGGGUGGCAGCAGUGGAGAAUCUUUGACAAUGGAGGCAACUCUGACCCAGCAAUGCCGCGUGGAUGAAGAAAGUCUUCCGAUUUGAAAAUUCUUUACUCAGGGGCGCAGAAGAUGACGGUACCUGAGGAAUAAGACACGGCAAACAAUGUGCCAGCAGCCGCGGUGAUACAUAGGUGGAAAGCGUUGUCCGGAAGGACUGGGCGUAAAGGGGGCGUAGGCGGUUUGUUAAGUUGGAAGUGAAAUCCCGGGGCUCAACCCCGGAACGGCUUUCAAGACUGCCGGACUUGAGUAUAAGAGGGGGAAGCGGAAUUCCUGGUGUAGCGGUGGAAUGCGUAGAUAUUAGGAGGAACACUAGUGGCGAAGGCGGCUUACUGGACAAUAACUGACGCUGAGGCUCGAAGGCGAGGGUAGCAAAAAGGAUUAGAUACCCGAGUAGUC